GAUAUUAGUCAAUGCUCGGAAGAGUGAACUAGCUAACUGAAAUCACAAAAUCACAAAUAGUGCUUAUUGUGAUAACGUAAGGGAAAAAAUUGAUAUUACCUUACUAUUAGUGUUGUCUAAAUAACUGGUGCCRGAAGACUCGGUAACACCAGAAACGCAAACGUUAGUCGUCUUAAACAGGCGUAAAGGGUAAGUAGGCUGCUUUAAAUGUCUAAAUUAAUAUAAGCUAAUUAAUAAUUUAAUACUAAUUUUUUCAAAUUAAAUAUAUAGAUUAUUUCGUUAUAAAUAACACACUAAAAAUUGAAAUUAUUGCUUGCUAUGCAAGCCAGAAAAUUAGAAUUAUUCUUUUCUAUUAAAAUAGACUCACUUAAAGCUAGAAUCAUAAUUGAGAUAAACCAAAUAAUACUUAAGUGUAAGGGCGAUAUCUGAAAAUACUAAGUARAAUACUAACGGUGAAAACUUUUUAUCUAGUAAUGAUUGACGCUGAGGUACGAAAGUGAGAACAGGGAAUAGGAUUAGAUACCCAGUUACCUCUCACCGUCAACGAUGAAUGGUAGUUGUUAAUUUAUWUAAAUUAGUGACGAUGUUAACGCGAUAACCAUUCCGCCUUGAGAGUACGGUUGCAAAACUGAAACCAAAAAAAUUAGUCGGUCUCGGAGCAAACGGAGUGAAGCAU
rnacentral:rRNA from 1 species